rnacentral:tRNA from 1 species
AAAGGGAGACCUAAUUCAGGUAUAAGACGAAAAAAAAGUAGUCGCUACCAAGAAUCAAUCCCAAAAGGUCGGAGCGAGGCGAAAUUGGCUUUCAAACUAGGUUCUGGGUUCAAACAAGACCUGAAUCAGGAACAAGGGCUAUUAGCUCAGGUGGUUAGAGCGCACCCCUGAUAAGGGUGAGGUCCCUGGUUCGAGUCCAGGAUGGCCCACCUGUACAGGUGGCAAAAACAAGAGAAGCGAGGAAUCAGCACCUUAUCUUACUGACAUAGUAAGAGAGAAUGCUGGCUCUGAGUAAAGAGUCCAGAGGAACCUUGAAAACUGCAUAGAGCUAGGUGAAAAAGCCAAAAAAGAAGACCACAAG